rnacentral:rRNA from 1 species
CCUACGGGGGGCAGCAAUUAGGAAUCUUGCACAAUGGGGGCAACCCUGAUGCAGCGACGCCGCGUGCGGGAUGACGGCCUUCGGGUCGUAAACCGCUUUUUUCGGGGAAGAAGAAUGUGACGGUACCCGAAGAAUAAGCCCCGGCUAACUACGUGCCAGCAGCCGCGGUAAUACGUAGGGGGCGAGCGUUGUCCGAAGUUACUGGGCGUAAAGCGCGCGUAGGCGGUUUCUUAAGUCUGGUGUGAAAGGCUGAGGGCUCAACCCCAGCAGUGCACUGGAGACUGGGAGACUUGAGUGCGGGAGAGGAGAGCGGAAUUCCUGGUGUAGCGGUGAAAUGCGUAGAUAUCAGGAGGAACACCGGUGGCGAAGGCGGCUCUCUGGCCUGCAACUGACGCUGAGGUGCGAAAGCGUGGGGAGCGAACGGGAUUAGAUACCCUGGU